rnacentral:rRNA from 1 species
UGCAGUCGAGCGCCCCGCAGGGGGAGCGGCAGACGGGUGAGUAACGCGUGGGAAUCUACCCAUCACUACGGAAUAACUCCGGGAAACUGGAGCUAAUACCGUAUACGUCCUUCGGGAGAAAGAUUUAUCGGUGAUGGAUGAGCCCGCGUUGGAUUAGCUAGUUGGUGGGGUAAUGGCCUACCAAGGCGACGAUCCAUAGCUGGUCUGAGAGGAUGAUCAGCCACACUGGGACUGAGACACGGCCCAGACUCCUACGGGAGGCAGCAGUGGGGAAUAUUGGACAAUGGGCGCAAGCCUGAUCCAGCCAUGCCGCGUGAGUGAUGAAGGCCCUAGGGUUGUAAAGCUCUUUCAACGGUGAAGAUAAUGACGGUAACCGUAAAAAAAGCCCCGGCUAACUUCGUGCCAGCGGCAAACUCCGUGCCCGGCGGGGCGGGGGGAGAUAAGC